rnacentral:ncRNA from 1 species
CUUCAAAGAAAAAGAGAAUGUUCUAAGCGACGUUGCUUUUUGAUGCUUCAAUGCCGGCUCUUCCUAUCAUUGCGAAGCAGAAUUCACCAAGCGUUGGAUUGUUCACCCACCAACAGGGAACGUGAGCUGGGAUUAGACAGUCGUGAGACAGGUU